UACGUAGGGGGCAAGCGUUGUCCGGAAUCAUUGGGCGUAAAGAGCGUGUAGGCGGCCCGGUAAGUCCGCUGUGAAAGUCCAGGGCUCAACCCUGGGACGCCGGUGGAUACUGUCGGGCUCGAGUCCGGAAGAGGAGUGUGGAAUUCCUGGUGUAGCGGUGAAAUGCGCAGAUAUCAGGAGGAACACCAAUGGCGAAGGCAGCACUCUGGGACGUGACUGACGCUGAGACGCGAAAGCGUGGGGAGCAAACAGG
rnacentral:rRNA from 1 species